GGAUUAGAUACCCUGGUAGUCCACGCCGUAAACGAUGUAUACUAGUUGUCGGGUCUUGAUACUCGGUGACGCAGCUAACGCAUUAAGUAUACCGCCUGGGGAGUACGGUCGCAAGAUUAAAACUCAAAGAAAUUGACGGGGACCCGCACAAGCGGUGGAGCAUGUGGUUUAAUUCGAAGCAACGCGAAGAACCUUACCCACCUUUGACAUACUAGUUUGGGAUAGUGGAGACACUUUCUUUCAGUUCGGCUUGGCUAGAUACAGGUGCUGCAUGGCUGUCGUCAGCUCGUGCCG
rnacentral:rRNA from 1 species